AGAGCACUGCUAUGCGUAAGACGGAUUCGUACUACCUGCGUCCGACCAUAUCAUGUGUAUCUAUCACCGUCUUUAGCUUCUCUCCACCAAUGCAAGCAGCAUUCGGAUACAUGUCGUACGAAUCCGUCGGACGCAUAGCUAUUUCCUUU
rnacentral:miRNA from 1 species